AACGAACGCUGGCGGCAGGCUUAACACAUGCAAGUCGAGCGCCCCGCAAGGGGUGCGGCAGACGGGUGAGUAACGCGUGGGAACGUACCUUUUGGUUCGGAACAACUCCGGGAAACUGGAGCUAAUACCGGAUAAGCCCUAACGGGGAAAGAUUUAUCGCCGAAAGAUCGGCCCGCGUCUGAUUAGCUAGUUGGUGAGGUAACGGCUGACCAAGGCGACGAUCAGUAGCUGGUCUGAGAGGAUGAUCAGCCACACUGGGACUGAGACACGGCCCAGACUCCUACGGGAGGCAGCAGCGGGGAAUAUUGGAAAAUGGGCGCAAGCCUGAUCCAGCCAUGCCGCGUGAGUGAUGAAGGCCUUAGGGUUGUAAAGCUCUUUUGUCCGGGAAGAUAAUGACUGUACCGGAAGAAUAAGCCCCGGCUAACUUCGUG
rnacentral:rRNA from 1 species